rnacentral:rRNA from 1 species
CAGCCGCCGCGGUAAUACCGGCGGCCCGAGUGGCGGUCACUAUUAUUGGGCUUAAAGCGUCCGUAGCCGGGUUGGGAAGUCCUCCGGGAAAUCUGGCCGCUUAACGGUCAGAAUUCCGGGAGAUACUGCCAGCCUAGGGACCGGGAGAGGCCGAGGGUAUUCCCGGAGUAGGGGUGAAAUCCUAUAAUCCCGGGAGGACCACCUGUGGCGAAGGCGCUCGGCUGGAACGGGUCCGACGGUGAGGGACGAAGGCCAGGGGAGCAAACCGGAUUAGAUACCCGGGUAGUCCUGGCUGUAAACGAUGCGGACUUUGUGUCGGACAAGCUAUGAGCUUGUCCGGUGCCGGAGGGAAACCGUUAAGUCCGCCGCCUGGGGAGUACGGCCGCAAGGCUGAAACUUAAAGGAAUUGGCGGG